GAUGAACGCUAGCGGCAGGCCUAAUACAUGCAAGUCGAACGGUGUCUUCGGACAUAGUGGCGCACGGGUGCGUAACACGUAUGCAACCUACCUUACAUUGGGGGAUAGCCUUUCGAAAGGGAGAUUAAUACCGCAUAAGACAGAAGCUGGGCAUCCAGCAGCUGUUAAAGAUUUAUCGAUGUAAGCUGGGCAUGUGUCCAAUUAGCUAGUUGGUGAGGUAACGGCUCACCAAGGCAAUGAUUGGUAGGGGAACUGAGAGGUCAAUCCCCCACACUGGCACUGAGAUACGGGCCAGACUCCUACGGGAGGCAGCAGUAGGGAAUAUUGGGCAAUGGACGCAAGUCUGACCCAGCCAUGCCGCGUGCAGGAUGAAGGCGUUAUGCGUUGUAAACUGCUUUUAUACAGGAAGAAACGACUCUUGCGAGAGGCAUUGACGGUACUGUAUGAAUAAGCACCGGCUAACUCCGUGCCAGCCGCCGCGGUAAGAC
rnacentral:rRNA from 1 species